UACGUAGGGGGCCAGCGUUGUCCGAAGUUACUGGGCGUAAAGAGCGCGUAGGCGGGCCCUUAAGUGGGGGGUGAAAGGUUGGGGCUCAACCCCAACACUGCCUUUCAUACUGGGGGCCUUGAGUGCGGGAGAGGCGAGUGGAAUGGUCGGUGUAGCGGUGAAAUGCGUAGAUAUCGAUCGGAACACCCAUGGCGAAGGCAGCUCGCUGGCCUGCAACUGACGCUGAGGCGCGAAAGCCGGGAGAGCGAACAGG
rnacentral:rRNA from 1 species